UCAAGUCAUGGUGAUGUCGCAGGGAUGAACCCAGAGAAAUGAAUACCUGCACCAUAUCCUUCAGGCCUCCAGUCUCUUACCAGCUCUUGGCAUCAGCCAGAGGGAAAGAGAACCCACUGAUGUCAUCUACAUAGAAUCCAAACAGUUUUUUAAAACCUAUGACCUGAGCUACUUUAGAAAUUGGGAAGGGAAGGGAGAAGUCAUUCAUGCAAGGAUAAAGGUGGGACCCCAUUAAGAAUACUGAACAGGGAUUUACUCCUUAAAGUGCUUGAGUCAUUUGAAUUUGUCAAACCAUGGAAAGAUCCCUGCGUCACCAAGGACACAACAAAAUGGAACUGUCCUGAGAAGCAAUCUAUAAACUUCUGUGAAGACAGCCUUGAAGAUCUUGCUCUUGGUCUGCCUCCAAUGUUACACGGAACUCAUUGCCCUGGGAUCGAGUCUACAGAAGCCAAGCCUUGUUACAGACCCUCCCCGGGAAACGGGAAAAAUGAGCCUCCUGGAACUGACAUCAGAAACUAGAAUGUCCCUUUCAGGCCUCACUCCAGGGGAACUGGAAAACCAUGGCUGUUUCCCCAGAAAUGAACCAGUCCGGGGAAGGUGUGGCUGUAAGCCAGAGUGAGAACUGAGCAGGUGUCCCUCAGGACACAGGUUCCCAGCACCUUCUCCAGGCGAACAAAAUUAACAUGUGUUUCCUUUCUUCUCUAUUCUAGGAGAAUCUGCCCAACGGACCCAGAAAAACAGAAAAUAAAAAUGACAAGAGUUAUUUUAGAAAUCCUUAGGAAGCAUGCAUCUAUAUACACUGAAUGAAAUACAGAGCUAAAACAUGUGUCUGAAUAAUACAAACUCCAAAUAUGUUGGCCUUAAAUGGAUUUUCAGAUGUGGACACACUAGGCAGUUGUGGCCUUUGUUGCAUGUUCCCACGCUUCAUGCAUUGACAGCAUAUGAAAAUUCGCCAGAGUUCUCCAGGAUCACAAUGACCUAAAUGCUGACUCAGGAUCAGAUACAUGAGCCGUUGCUAACAGGAUUAUGCCACAGAUAGAAUAAUGCAAACCCAGGUGUGUCUGUGUGUGUGGCUAUGUUCACGUGUGCGCCCAUCCAAACUCAAUACUUAUUUUCUAAAUGGAUGAGUGAUAUGUUUAAACGUAGAUACUGCCCUAUUAGGAUAUAAAGAUUCAGGAAAUAUAUACGAAGUUUUUGUUUGUUUGUUUUUAAAGAUUUUAUUUAUUUAUUUGAGAGAGAAUGAGAUAGAGAGAGAGCAUGAGACAGGGGAGGGUCAGAGGGAGAAGCAGACUCCCUGCCGAGUAGGGAGCCCGAUGUGGGACUCAAUCCUGGGACUCCAGGAUCAUGACCUGAGCCGAAGGCAGUCGCUUAACCAACUGAGCCACCCAGGCGCCCCAGUAUACGAAGUUUUGAUAACACGGCAAGUCCUAUGCUGGCAUUGCCUUAGAGGAAUAUCAAAAGGUGCGUAAGACCUAAUCCCAACAUUAAACGAAAUCACAGUGGCAGGAGGUUAUGGUGAUUGGCACUGUUACACUAAUCGAGUAUUUAAGGAUCUCACUUAAGAAAAAAGCAAGAGGUACAAAGAGUGGACAGCCAAGGGUUAACACUUGGCAGCAUUUGAAUUCCUGGAUCCACUUGUUCCCGUCACUUGGUUGCUCACCCGCCUUUUUUUUUGUGAUGUGUUUUACUCAACCCUUCCCAGAAUUCUGUGAGUUAACAAAUUCUCUUCUUGGACUGAACUUAAGUUUGUUCCUCUCAUGCAUAACGCAAAAUAACUUAUCCUAUUACAGCAUCCAAUGAGAACACAGACCAAAAAGCCACUUUAAAAGCAUCAAGUCAUCUAUGAAAGUACACGCUUCUUUUAUUAAGACUCCUCUUUGUGACCAACCUGGACCCUCACUCACUGUCUAACUCACCGGGUCCCGGCCUCAUCCACUGGGGAGAGCCCACAUGCUGCCCCGGUGUGCAUGUGUACCAUCAGGCAACCACAGGACAGCACCCCCUGCUCCCACACAAACCAGCUCCAGCUGUAUUUUCAGGGCCAUCACUUUGGGCUGAGCCAAGAGGUCUGCUUUCACUCUGCGAAGACGUACCAACAGCCGCCAUCCUGCCGUCUCUUGCCUGACAACUUUCUGGGAGGCCAAGCAUCAGUUUUAGAAUGAGAAGGUUUCUCUUCUAUCCUUCAAAAAUGAGGAAGGCCUGGACAGGAGAGGUCUAUGGCUACUUAAGGGGUCAUCUUAGAUUAAGGAUUUGGAAACUCAUGAUUUAUGGAGGGAGGGCUUUAUUAGACAUCUCAUCAAUUCCCAUAGGUCAGGGCCCUUGGAUGCCAUUCCAACUUUGCUGCUCAUUUCACAGCACAAUUAAUGAAUAAAAUAU